UAUAGAGUUUCUUUUUGUCCCUACUAUUUUCUGCUGGUAAACCAUGGUCUUGGGUCUCAGCUGCAGCUGGAUACAGUAUUUCUGAAGACAGACUUUUCCAGUUCUACUAGGAAGAAUGUAUAAAGUCACAUGGCCAUGUGUUCACUUCCAAACUGGAAAUUCAACUUUAGUUGGGAACUUGCCUAGCAGGAGAACAAAAGCUAUACAACAGUUUCAAGGAAGAGGAAGUGGUUCUCUUGCAUGACUGUGGACCCACUCAAUGAUGCAAGAUUGCAAGAUUCAGCAAGGAGGUGGAGUGAAAACAGAAGCCUUGGACUGCUCCGUGGUCACUUUCAACAGAGAGAUAUAAAGCCUGGCUAGGAGGAAGGAGUGCAGAUUGAAGUUUGAUCUACUGGACACUGUUCUACCCACACUUAUACCCUAACACAAAAAACGCCUCAUGACUUUACAAAUGAUUUCUUGGAUGCUUGUCCUUGUGCCCAGCUAUGCACCAGGAGUAAUGAAUGAUAUAAAGAACUACAGGACUCCUGCUUCUGAGGAACACUCAAACAAUGAAAUAUGCAUGCACUGCACAGCACCUGCAGGAAAGGAAUGGCUCCAUGUUCCAAGGAUGAGUCUUUGCAAAGAAGUCUUAAAUACUCACUUGUUCUGAGACAUGCUGGACUACUUACCCAGGGCCUCCAUGUGAUCUCAGAACCUUCCUGGAGAUUAAAAGCACAGAGAGACAUGACUACUCUAGAUUUGUGUAAAAUAAUUAAUUCAAUAAAUAUGUAUCGAAAG
rnacentral:lncRNA from 1 species